rnacentral:rRNA from 1 species
AGUCGAACGAACUCUGGUAUUGAUUGGUGCUUGCAUCAUGAUUUACAUUUGAGUGAGUGGCGAACUGGUGAGUAACACGUGGGAAACCUGCCCAGAAGCGGGGGAUAACACCUGGAAACAGAUGCUAAUACCGCAUAACAACUUGGACCGCAUGGUCCGAGUUUGAAAGAUGGCUUCGGCUAUCACUUUUGGAUGGUCCCGCGGCGUAUUAGCUAGAUGGUGGGGUAACGGCUCACCAUGGCAAUGAUACGUAGCCGACCUGAGAGGGUAAUCGGCCACAUUGGGACUGAGACACGGCCCAAACUCCUACGGGAGGCAGCAGUAGGGAAUCUUCCACAAUGGACGAAAGUCUGAUGGAGCAACGCCGCGUGAGUGAAGAAGGGUUUCGGCUCGUAAAACUCUGUUGUUAAAGAAGAACAUAUCUGAGAGUAACUGUUCAGGUAUUGACGGUAUUUAACCAGAAAGCCACGGCUAACUACGUGCCAGCAGCCGCGGUAAUACGUAGGUGGCAAGCGUUGUCCGGAUUUAUUGGGCGUAAAGCGAGCGCAGGCGGUUUUUUAAGUCUGAUGUGAAAGCCUUCGGCUCAACCGAAGAAGUGCAUCGGAAACUGGGAAACUUGAGUGCAGAAGAGGACAGUGGAACUCCAUGUGUAGCGGUGAAAUGCGUAGAUAUAUGGAAGA